rnacentral:rRNA from 1 species
UACGAAGGGUGCAAGCGUUAAUCGGAAUUACUGGGCGUAAAGGGUGCGUAGGCGGUUCGUUAAGUCUGUCGUGAAAUCCCCGGGCUCAACCUGGGAAUGGCGAUGGAUACUGGCGAGCUAGAGUGUGUCAGAGGAUGGUGGAAUUCCCGGUGUAGCGGUGAAGUGCGUAGAGAUCGGGAGGAACAUCAGUGGCGAAGGCGGCCAUCUGGGACAACACUGACGCUGAAGCACGAAAGCGUGGGGAGCAAACAGG